CCCUGCUGUGUCUUUUUCAACACGCAGAUAGAAUCCGUAGCUCUUUUGGGGUGUUUUGGUCACCUUACAUUCUCGGGGCUGGAGAAGAGAAGACAUCUCUACCACAAAGGAUGGAAAAAGACACUUGAAAUCCAAAUCUGCAAAGUUGACACUAGUUAACAAGAACUAGGGAGAAGAAAUCAAUCCCUUUUCCCUCUCCCUCACUUUUCUCCCUGUCUCAAAGAAAGUUAAGCAAGAAGCAGAACCGGAAGGAAGAAGUUGUCUGCCUGUGAGAAUUGAGGUGAAGAUUUAAUACUAGAAUUAAAUCUUACAGAGGGAAAAUAAUGGCAGCACAAACAUAAUGCAACACUGUAGGAAUGUGGCAAAAUGGGAUUUCGUAGAAUCACCGAACAGUCAAAGUUGGAAGGGACCUCUGGAGGUCACAUGGUCCAACCUCCCAGCUCAAGCAGGGAUACCUAGAGCCAGUUCUCCAGGACCAAAUCCACACAGCUUUUUAAUAUCUCCAAGGAGGAAGGCUCCAUUACUUCUGUGGGCAAUGUGUGCCAGUGCUCAGUCACUUUCAUAGUAAAAAAUUGUCCUGUGUCCUUAUAUUCAAAUGGAGCCUCCUGUGUUUCAGUUUGUGCCCAUUGCCUUUGUUCUGCCACUGUAAACCACCCCAGCUCCAUCUUCAGGUAUUUUUAUAUGUUGAUAAAGUUCCUUUGCUUCUCCAGGCUUAAUAGUCCCGGCUCUCUCAGCCUUUUGAAUAUCUCUAAGGAUGGAAACUCUACAACUUGUCUGGGCAACCUGUGCAGUGCAGAAGAUGACUUUGAUCGUGGGGUUCCUUGCUAAGGCUGGAAGCAGCAGCCCCGCUAUGGGGGUUCCAAAUGGCAGCCCCAGUAAUGCUGGUAUCAGAACAUGGUAUGCUGGAAAUCAUUUAUGCACUUAUCAUGAAAUACCUGAAAGAAGGGCAGACCCUGGAUUUGAAUUGCCUCAUCAAGCAUCAACAGGAUCAGUCAUCGCAAAUGAAGGCUUACUGGUAUAAAAGUGCAGAGAAGCAAAGUGAGACUGGGUUUGGAAAGGACAUGGAAAGCUCACAUCUCUCGCAAAACUCAGACCUCAAGGCAGAAAGUCAUAUCCUCUCUGCUUCUGAAAAGUCAGGCAGACAGUGGCGACUAUCAAUGCAGGGCCAAAAUAAAGAAUACUGUUCUAACUGAUGUGGACCACUUUAUUAGAGUAAAUGUUAACAGGGUGUGAAAGUAAAAAUGAUUGCUGCCACACUGUGACAUGAGGAAUAAGUUUCAUACUUCUCUGUCUCUUUGUCUCUGCAUGCUAAAUGCAAGGCCGACAUAUGAAAAAUGGUGGGGAUUUGGUUUAGAUUGGCUGUGGAUCUCUCUGAGGUGUGAGCAUUGUCAAUACCACAGAGGGUGACCUGGGACAGAACAAAGUUCUGAGGGAGGAUUCUGAGUUGGAGAAGAUGUUGCCUGCGGUCCUGAUAACCUGGAUGAUUGUGUAUGCCAAAGCGAUUUUGCAAAGUGCAGCUGAGCUGAAUUACGGCCAACAUCCACAGAAGUCACCUGGCUCAGUGUCUAGUUUCUGGUUGUUCCAAAUCCAAGUCCACUAAAUGAGCACAGGACCAUUGUUUUAUGGACUUCAGAUGCCUCCUGUAUGGCCUUUUGGGAAUAUGUAGCUGUGUGCUAAUGUGACAUAAAGUAUCUUGCAAAUUAAAUACUGAGCCUGAGCUCAGUCAAUUGAUCUUGAUGUGUAAAAGUCUCUCUUCUUCUUCAGAUGACCCCUCAGUAUAACCUCUGAUAUAUGGUCUUGGAUUAGUCACUUUUUUUAACAAAGUUGUGUUUUAUUAAUUUGGAUUGGCACAUUUUGCUCCUGAACACUGGUAGGUUUUUUUUUUGUGUGUUCAUCUUUUUUUUUAACCCAAGGACUCAUACCAUGAAGACACUGUGAAGGCAGAGCUGCUUUGCUUUUGUGAGAAAAUAGUACUGAAGUGCUGCAAGAACUUCAUUUAAUUGUGCAUGAUGAAUGUCUGGGAAUCACAUUGGUUUUCAUGACAUACUUCAAGGUUUCGGGGGACUUACUUCUGGAUUUCUGGUACUGUUUUUUUGGGAUUAUUCACUUUAUCUUUUAAUCCCAUCUACAUCCUCAGCAGAGAAGAAGAAUUUCUUCAUGUCUUUUCUAGCCCUCUCACAUCUGAUGUCAGUUCUUCCAGGUUCUGCCUUCACUGAGGUAACAUAUUUCUUGGUGUUCUCUUUGAAAACAAGAGAAUGAUUUCUUUCCAGCUGUACUUUCUGGGACCUGACUCCCAUGCAGAGAGGCUUCCCCUUUCUGCUACGGCUCUCUAUGCAAAAGAAAAUUUCCUGGGUUCUCUCCUCUGAAACAUCUGACAUAUUUCUUUUCUAUCCUCUGUGCUCUUCAAUUCACUCUGAGAAAGCCUGAAGCCUUUGUUCAAUUCUCAGCAGUAUGAGCUUGAGUAGGAGGAUGCAUGGGAAGCGGAAAGGAAGUCAGUGUCAUACUCACUGUUCUCCAAACAGAAACAAAACCCAGUCACAAUAUUUCACCCUAACUGCAGGAUGCAUUGAAAGGCUAUUUUGUCUAUAAUCUUUCAGCAGUGUUGAAUUGCUUUCUCCUUUUUCUAAGUAUUCAUGUAAAUUUGCCUUUUGUGUAAAGGGUUCUCUCUUAGGUGUUAAAAUUUGGUACCAAAUGACAAAGGGAAGAGGGUUGUAUCUAUAUCUGUUAGCAUGUUUGGGAACUCUUUCUGUGGUUGCUAAAGCUUCUCUGAUGUGAGCUUCUGACCUCUGACAUGUUUUUCUUACUUGGGCAUGU